CAGCGUAGUAUUGCGGACAGUAAAAAGUAAAUAAAGAAUUGCUACGCACCCUAGAAUACGAAGAGGUUUACUAAAUUUUAACUAAAAAAAAAAAAUCCAAUAACAUGAUGAUAUUAAUAUUUUUAGUUAUCGAUAUAACCUUCUAAAAAAAAUAAAUAAUUGUAAUAAAUAAUACGUAGAUGAAUAAACUAGCAGGUGAUAAGAGAACAAAUGCCUGAUGUAUUUUAAUUUCAAGUCCUUCACACCAAUAUUUGAAGUUAUAAUGAUUUACCAGUCUAAAGAACCAAGAGUCUUCGUUAACAUUUCUGCCUGUACUUUCGCAUAAUUCUCAGUUUUCGCCCUAUCAUAGUACACCUUACAGCUAUUUGACUUGCAAAGAACUGGAUCACUAGAUGAAAGCUUACUGCAGCCUCGACAAAUAUCAAAUAGCAAGGAAAGUUUUUUGUUAUAAGCAUUGUGCUGCGUAACAGCUUUAGAAAUAGUAGCACAAGGAUUUUUUAAGCAAUCACUGCAGAGGGAGUUAAUUUUAUCAGGAAUAAUUUCAAUAUUAUUCUUCAAGCAAGAAGAGCAAAGCUUCUCCAUCAGAAAAGUGUCCAAAGUCUUUUUUUGAAUACCUCCUUUCACUGUUUCAGUCAAUUUUAAACUGGUACGUGGUUUGGGCAUUUCAUGAUACCAUGACUGGGCACUAGCCCCUAACAAGUUUAGAAAUCGAUCUAAUGGAGGUAUCAAACUAUUGUUGAUAUAAUAAUUUAUAUCAAGUUGAGAAAAACUCGAAGACAGAAAUUCUUCGGGUGCAACUGAGCGGUUCGCCAAGGUGGUACCAGGAGCAGCAGCGAUAAUCAAAUAUGGAACACGUUCUCCAUAUUGAGGUUCCCUCCUAGGAUCUUUGGUCAUCAACCGUCUAGCCAUAACUGCUCCAGGAGGAGCAGUACUUAAUUCUUUAUAUUUUUCUAGACGAACUUCUUUUGAAAAACAAAAAUCCAUAACAGGAACGUUUCCACUCAUAAUUUGAUAACAUACGUUCUGAAAUUCUUUUUUGACCGUUGACAAAUCCUUUGUCUUAAAAAGUAUUUCAAGGCAACGACGAAGGAGCUGCUGUUGAACAGGAGUACCAUCCCUUCGAACUGUCUCAAUGCCUUUCGCUUCAAAAAUUGGAGCUUUUUGACUAACUGAUUCAAAUUUGAACCCUACAUAUCUUUUUUUCGCUAACAAGAAACAAGGAAAGUAAAUUUUUUCAAAUUUAAGUCGAAUUGGAGAAGGAAAUCUGGAAGUAAUGUUGUUUGCUAGCUGCUGUCCGAUGUCGAAAGCUUGCUCUUUAGUCGCUCCAGGUAAUUCAACAAAUAAGCUAUCGGUAUCACCAUAAACGACCUUUGCAUGACAAAAAUCUAAAGUAUUUAUGUAUUCUAGUGAAUAGCUAAGUAUCUCACGUCCUGUUUCCACAAUAGUAUCUGCGAUUUCUGAACACGGCAUUCUUCCUGAAAAUGACGCUGAAGUAUAUCCGUAAGUUACGUUUGCAAUCAAUUUUAGGGCCAGUUGCCGACUAUUCAAUACUUUGUUGACAUAGUCCGAGUCACAAUCUUUCAUGCCUCUUUUCACCAUAUUUCUGGUUUCAAUAAGUUCCUCUAGCAUUUUAGCGAGCAAAGACUUUCUAACAUUCUCUUUAACGUAUGCAUAACCAUUAGGGGAGAUAUAUACAUCAUUUUUUAUUAAAUUCACAAUGUUUGGAUUGCUUGAAUGAAACAUAAAUCCAAGCUUAACUUUUCCAUUGACUAUUUUCACAGGUCCAAGACAUGUGGAAUAACAAAGAUUAUAUGCAAUUAUAAUAGAGGGGUAUAGUGACUGAAAAUCUAGUACAACUACCGGAUUAUUGUAUAAAUCAGACUUCGGCUCCAUAACAAGAGGUAACGCUUCUAAAGCAUUUUGCUCAGCAACUUGCUUAGCGCUAGGUGAUGGAAAUAUGUAAUUUUCAGGCUUUGCAAUUCGAAACAUAAUAGAUUCAACUUUAAACUGGGACCCCCUAGAAAUUACUGACAUGAAGUCAAUUCCGAUAAUUCUUGCUUGUUCACGAAUUUUAGUGACAAUGGCACAGGCUGAUAAUAUUUCCAAACAAUAUCUAGUCCUGUUUAACAUAUAAUUUAAAAGGAUUUGCUUCUCAUGAAAACGAGAGCUCUGCCAAAGAUGCACUUUAUCAGCUUGAUUAUAAUAAGGGGUCUGCUUUUUAAAAAUGUUAAGAACAACAUUUUCGAGGGAAUAGUUAAGUAAAUUAACUUCACCACGGAGAAUUCUCCAUAUAUUCAAAACAUGCCGGCCCACAAUAUUGAUGGAUGAAGUAGUUGUAUAUUUCCAUGCAUUCUCUUUCUUUGCAAAAUUUGCUUUCGAAGUGCACUUAAGUCGGGACAAUUGUUCAGGCAAGUCAUAAUUAAAUCGAUAAGAUGCUCGUUCUAUUAAAUAACCCCAUGAGCUAUUAUGAACUUCGUAACCACAUACGAUGGUCGGAUCAAGCUGGCGAUUUAAUCCUAUAACUUCAUUAAUAAGUUCAAGUUCGGAAUUUACAACUAAAACGGUGCAGCUUGGAAAACUUCGCCCAAAAGAAGAGUUCGACGCAGAUUUGUCGACCACAAUAAAACCAACUCUGUCAAUCAUACUGCUGUUUACAUCUUCUUGAUAUGCCCAGAAACAACACUCUAUAGAGUCUUUAGUGGGAUCUGGGGUCAAUCCCCCAUGGCUACAGCAAAACAAUUCAAGCGCUAAGAUGCGCACACAUGAAUAAGGAUCUUUUCUAAAAACCUUACUUCUGGAUAACCUUUGUGGGCUUUGUAUUUCCUCUGAAACGGCUUCUUUCGAUUCAAGAUUUGAUAAAUCUACAGCAAGUGGUGCAGGUUUUAUAUAUUGCCACGUCCGUUCUCCGUGAAAAUUACUAAGCUUAAGUGGAUUUAGUCGAACUUUUUCGCUUACCGAUCCAUCUGAUUGAAAUUCUGGCAAAUAUCUAGAAGAAACACCGAUCGGAUAAUGAGAUUUUCCUAAAUAUUCUUGGGAGUAAGAGGGAAUGUCCUUCUCCGAACUAUAGUGAACAUUUGUCGGUAUUGAAAAUGGGAUUUUCAAUUUUUUCAUAGUCCCAUAAAGAUCAUCCGUCGAAGGAGGUUGUUGUUUGUAAACAAAAGAUUCAUGUUGAGAUAAGAAUUUUGGGGAGUAGUCUUCAGGAAUUUGAGUACAAAUAUGAUAAUCAUCAAGAUUUCUAGAAUAUUUUAGUCUCUUUCCUGCUUUUCUAGUAUCCCCUUGAUUCGGUUCAGAGCUGGUGGGACGAUUCGGCAGAUCUCGACAAAAUUCAAUUUCCCUUUUAGUUAUGGGUGAACCCCCUUUUAAUCUAAGGCUGGGGGAAAAUGGAUUUAUUUGAGAAGGUACAUCUUUUAAGGGCGAAGAGGGAGGUGAUUGUCUAUCUUGUGAAGAGUGAAUGGUAACUUCUUGAGAAGAAUUAAGAGGACUUUUGGGAAAUUUAGAUCUAUCAACAUUGGGUUCUACAUAAGGAAAUGAAUCAAAAAGUGUAUCUCCCAAUAUACGCUCGAGCUCAGAGUCCAGUUGUUCAAAAGAAGAUUCUAUGACGGGUGCAGUGUUUUGUUCAAGUUGAAUCUUUGGCAGGCUUUCAUAAGAAGUACAGAUUUUCUCAUCUACAGAUAUUUGAGAAACUGAAAUAUCAUUUUGGGAUGGGCGUACGUAAUCUUUGGUGUGGAUUGCAGAAUAAAUGGUAGGCAGCUCAGGCCACGGAUCAAAGAUGAGUGGAGUAUUGACAUCGGAAGAAGAUUCUAAUUUACUUUUGAUCAAGUUUUUUAACAGAUCUUUCAUGGCAACUUCAUUUUUCCAGUGCUGGGAACUUCGCGGUUCAUGGCUACUCUCUUCUUUGAGACCGAACUGACUUUGGUGCAAUUUAGAAAAACUAUUAGUCUCAUCGCUACUGGUUAAAUUCCUCCGAGAAGCUUCCGAUUUCCAAAUUUCAGCUAAACUAGUUACCAAUAGUGAAUUUGGACUUGAAGCAUGAGUUUCAUAUAAAUCAGUAUGGAUAUUACGUUCACUCAACCAGCAGGCAUUGAGAAUAGCAUUUGGAGACACGUGAACCUCGACGUUACAAAAACUCAAGAGAUCGUCUCUCUUUAUAAUGGAGUCAUCUAAAUCUAUUGGAGCACAACCAUAUAGAUUAUGAUCGACCAUAAAUUGUAGUAAGUAAGGAAGAUGGGAUUCGUAAACUUGAAUAACUUUGUUUAAUAUAGCACCUUGCCUGAAUAAAUCGACUAGUCUAUCUCUGUUUUUCGGACUAAAAAGACAGAUCUUUAAGAAUUUCUGAAAACAGAAGGAGUACCCAUAAAACGGAAUUCCCUUCACAAGCUGAACGCUUUGUACAGCAGGUUUGUAAGUUUCUGGAUUUGCUCUUGCCGCUAAUGCUAAAGCAUAAUUAAUUGAUGUUUGUAAUUGGCUUAAAAAAUCUGGAACUUCAAGAUCUAACGUUUCUGCAAAACUAGAGUAUUCGACAUAAAUAUAUGGGAAAACGUUGUGGAUAAAGCAGCAAACAGUUUCUGCUUCUUCAUUCAAUCCAAAAACUCGAAUAACUGGAACAGUGGUUAACUCUUCAUUUGCAGUCGGCAAAUCUUUCCCUACGAAAUCAUAAGCUGGAUCACAAGGACUUAAUUCCCAAUCUAUAUACUCGAUUGAAAAUCGCAUUCAAUGCUUUUUUUAUAGUAAAAUUUCAUAUGAUAGUUUUUAUCACGGCUGAGAGAAAAUGUCGGUUUUCACAUAGUAUGGCAAAUGUUGUUCAGUGUUGAUUAGAUCAACCUCUACACCCUAAACAGUGCCACUACUGUAAGAAUCAAUAUGUGAAAUAUAAGAGUUAAAUUGACCAAGAAUAAUAAGACUAAUUUUUAUAUAUAAAUACUUACUUAAUUCCGUUUAAAAUAGAUGAAUUACUGCACUCAUUAUUCUAACGAAUAGUUAAUCUACAGGAGUUCCUCAACUAUAGCAAAAGGGAUAUAUGCAGAAUUUAUAAUGAUUUUGUUAGGAAACGACAAUAGUUUAGAUCUUAAAAUCAUAUUAUUGAACCUCAAACGAACUUUUUGAAUGAUUCAUAUCAAAUUUGUACAAAAUGUUGAUAUAUGGCUA